GAGGAGGUAGCUCAGUGGUAGAGCAAUUGCUUCACAUGUAUGAGGCCUUGGGUUCCACCCUCUACCCCCCCC
rnacentral:tRNA from 1 species